CGAAGUAUAUGUAGUACCUGAAAUCUAAUUGAGAAUGGGCUAAUUUGUCGUAUCGGGAGUGGAGAAGCUGUGAACAUUUGGAACGAUCCUUGGCUACCGAGUCUUGGGAAUACUAGAGUGUUAGUUAAUUCUAUUAAUCCUUAUUGGAUAACUGUAAGUUAGUUGAUUGAUAAAGAAACAAUUACCUAGAAGAAAGCUAAAAUUUUAGACAUAUUUGGCACCAAUCAAGCUGAGCGUAUCUUCAAGAUCCCUCUCUCUUGUAUACGAUUAAAUGACAUGUUGGGCUGGAGGCAUGAGGCAACCGGGGAAUACGAAGUAAAAAGUGGGUACAAAGUCCUAAUUUCAGAACAUCUACAUUCUAACUAAUCAGAUUCCUACUGCUACACCCCACAUUUACAAAGAAUUUUACAACUCUCUAUGGAAAUUACAACUACCAGAAAAAAUAAAUAUACAUGUGUGAAGACUGUUCAAUAAUUUUUUGCCUCAUUUCAUCAAUUUAGCCAAGUGUAGAUUGACCGGAGACGUUUUGUGUCCACUGUGCAACAACCCAUUGGAGGAUGCUAAUCAUCUGAGUUAGACUUGUCAAGUACUUGAGCAAUUGUGGAAACACCUACAAAUUUUGAGUAACCAAAGGGUGGAUUCCUCAAAUUAUAAAGAUUGGUUAGUACAAAUGUUUAUUGUAAAGAAUAAAAGACAGCGAAUGCUAAUGGCUAUAUCUUACUAGGCUCUUUGGUUUAGAAGAAACAAGUUGGUUUAUGAAGGACAGAAAGGUUCUGUCCAAGAUAUUUUGGGAUUUAUAUAGGGGUACAUGCAGGAGCUAAAUCAGACUUAGAAUCCUUUUCAGUUUAUGAAACCUAUGAUGAAGGAACUAUGGCGACCUCCAAAUACUGAUGUUAUUAAACUAAACUUUGGUGCUUCUUUUAAUACAGAUACAUACACUUCAGUUGCAGCAGUUCUGGCUCGAAAUAACAAAGGUCAGAUUAUGGGGUCCUGUACUUACCCUUAUGAUGGAGUCCAAGAUGCUUUUGUGGCAGAAGCUAGGGCUUGCGAGAGAGUCUUACUCUUUGCAGCUGAAAUGGGUUUCCUUAAGAUUUCUGUAGAAUGAGAUUCCUUGACAAUCAUCAGAAAGAUCAAAAAAAAAAAAGACAAAUAGAUCCUCCGACCGGUGAUUCUAAGUAUCUACGACUUAUGAAGAAGGUUCGAGGAGAUAUCUUACCACUUCAUUUCAAGAGAAGUAAAUAAGGCUGCCCAUAUGUUGGCUAAGAAGGGACAUCGGUAUCGAGCACCAUGUUUUUGGGUUGAAAAAGCCCUAGAUCCAGUUGAGAAGAUGACAAUUGUGGACUGGAACAACUGGAUUUGACAAUAUUCGAUAGUAUUAAGGUUUUUUUUUUCAGAAGCUUGAGAAUGGAAAAGGUUCACUCUGAAUCUCCACGGUCUUGUUUCUCUCAAGCUUUUGCCUCUUCUACUAUGGUUGAUGGUUUUUUAGCUUUGUUUGAAGAGGUUUUGGCUGGUAUUUCUCUGCUUUCUCUCUAUGGUUGUUUAGGGGAAGGCUCUGUUUUGGUUCGUUUAUGGUUUUUUACUUUGGGUUUUGUUUUAGGCAUUUUAAUAUUUAUUUGUUAUUUAGUUGUGUGUGGCUGUUUGCUUUUCAUCUUUAAGUGGCUUUAGUGUGCUGUUUGAUUUGCUUGUAACGUCUUUUCAUCUGUUUUUUAACAUCUUUCAGGGGGUUAAUCUUUAUUGAGCCCCUUAAACAUUUAAUGAAUACCAG
rnacentral:lncRNA from 1 species